rnacentral:rRNA from 1 species
UGAGGAAUAUUGGUCAAUGGGGGCAGGCCUGAACCAGCCAAGUAGCGUGAAGGAUGACUGCCCUAUGGGUUGUAAACUUCUUUUAUAAAGGAAUAAAGUCGGGUAUGUAUACCCGUUUGCAUGUACUUUAUGAAUAAGGAUCGGCUAACUCCGUGCCAGCAGCCGCGGUAAUACGGAGGAUCCGAGCGUUAUCCGGAUUUAUUGGGUUUAAAGGGAGCGUAGAUGGAUGUUUAAGUCAGUUGUGAAAGUUUGCGGCUCAACCGUAAAAUUGCAGUUGAUACUGGAUAUCUUGAGUGCAGUUGAGGCAGGCGGAAUUCGUGGUGUAGCGGUGAAAUGCUUAGAUAUCACGAAGAACUCCGAUUGCGAAGGCAGCCUGCUAAGCUGCAACUGACAUUGAGGCUCGAAAGUGUGGGUAUCAAACAGGAUUAGAUACCCUGGUAGUCCACACGGUAAACGAUGAAUACUCGCUGUUUGCGAUAUACUGCAAGCGGCCAAGCGAAAGCGUUAAGUAUUCCACCUGGGGAGUACGCCGGCAACGGUGAAACUCAAAGGAAUUGACGGGGGCCCGCACAAGCGGAGGAACAUGUGGUUUAAUUCGAUGAUACGCGAGGAACCUUACCCGGGCUUAAAUUGCAGAUGAAUUACGGUGAAAGCCGUAAGCCGCAAGGCAUCUGUGAAGGUGCUGCAUGGUUGUCGUCAGCUCGUGCCGUGAGGUGUCGGCUUAAGUGCCAUAACGAGCGCAACCCUUGUUGUCAGUUACUAACAGGUUCCGCUGAGGACUCUGACAAGACUGCCAUCGUAAGAUGUGAGGAAGGUGGGGAUGACGUCAAAUCAGCACGGCCCUUACGUCCGGGGCUACACACGUGUUACAAUGGGGGGUACAGAGGGCCGCUACCACGCGAGUGGAUGCCAAUCCCCAAAACCUCUCUCAGUUCGGACUGGAGUCUGCAACCCGACUCCACGAAGCUGGAUUCGCUAGUAAUCGCGCAUCAGCCACGGCGCGGUGAAUACGUUCCC